GGGGAGAUACUCAAGCGGCCAACGAGGACAGACUGUAAAUCUGUUGGUUUUACCUUCGCAGGUUCGAAUCCUGCUCUCCCCACUA
rnacentral:tRNA from 1 species